GGACUCGUAGCUCAAUGGUAGAGCUGGCCGCUCAUAACGGUCUGGUUGCGGGUUCAAGUCCUGCCGGGUCCA
rnacentral:tRNA from 1 species